rnacentral:rRNA from 1 species
UACAGAGGAGCCAAGCGUUGUCCGGAUUGACUGGGCGUAAAGCGCACGCAGGCGGUUGCGCGCGUGGGGUGUGAAAUCUGGCCGCUUAACGGCCAGGCGCCAUCCCAUACGGCGCGACUGGAGUGAUGCAGAGGUCGAUGGAAUUGCCGGUGUAGUGGUGAAAUGCGCAGAUAUCAGGAGGAACACCGGUGGCGAAGGCGGGUCUCUGGGCCAUAACUGACGCUGAGGAGCGAAAGCGUGGGGAGCGAACAGG